rnacentral:rRNA from 1 species
UGGGGAAUAUUGGACAAUGGGCGAAAGCCUGAUCCAGCCAUGCCGCGUGAGUGAUGAAGGCCCUAGGGUUGUAAAGCUCUUUCAACGGUGAAGAUAAUGACGGUAACCGUAGAAGAAGCCCCGGCUAACUUCGUGCCAGCAGCCGCGGUAAUACGAAGGGGGCUAGCGUUGUUCGGAAUUACUGGGCGUAAAGCGCACGUAGGCGGAUACUUAAGUCAGGGGUGAAAUCCCGAGGCUCAACCUCGGAACUGCCUUUGAUACUGGGUAUCUCGAGUCCGGAAGAGGUGAGUGGAAUUCCGAGUGUAGAGGUGAAAUUCGUAGAUAUUCGGAGGAACACCAGUGGCGAAGGCGGCUCACUGGUCCGGUACUGACGCUGAGGUGCGAAAGCGUGGGGAGCAAA